AUUCAUCUUUCCUGUUGCUGAGCGUUAGGCUGCCCCACCACUACCCCGUGCCUCAUAGGUUUUUUGUUUUUUUGACAGUCUUGCUGUGUUACCUAGGCUGGAGUGCAGUGGGGCCAUCUCAGCUCACUACAACCUCUGCCUCCCGGGUUCAAGUGAUUCUCCUACCUCAGCCUCCUGAGUAACUGGGAUUACAGGCAUGCACCACCAUGCCCAGCGAAUUGUUGUAUUUUUAGUAGAACAGGGUUUUGCCAUUUUGCUCAUGCUGGUCUCGAAGUGCGGCCUCAAACAAUCCGCCCACCUCAGCCUCCCAAAAUGCUGGCGUGAGCCACUGGGCCCGGCCAGGUUUGGUUUUUCCAUCUUUACUUAAUUAAGACUACCAGCUGUUUCUACCUCCCGUAUGGAAGAUGCUGGGAAUUGAGACACGGUUUUGCCAUGUUGCCCAGGUUGGUCUCAAACUUCCGGAGCUCAAGCAAUCCACCUGCCUCGGCCUUCCAAAGUCCUGGGAUUACAGGUGUGAGCCACCAUGCCCGGCGAUUACAUCUGCUUAAGUAAAUCAUUGGUCCCAUGUCUCAACUCUGCUGGCUAGAAAUACAAAUUCUAGGAGGAGAAGAAGGCCAGGGGAAUAGAAUGACGAGGAAAAAUCUUUAAUGACAUGCUGAGCUGUCAUGUUAUAAAGAAACAAAAAAAUACUUUCUGGGAGACAGGCUUGAAGUGGAGACAGAGAGACGUCAUUUCCAGCCUAGGGGCUCUAGGGUGAAUUUGUCAAAUUGAUUUUUGGUGGGUUGUUUUGGGGCAGAUUGCUUUUCAAUAAAUUGUCUGCCUGCAGCACGGUAUGAAAGGUAUGAAAGGUGUCCUUUGGAAGGGUCGCGGCUCCCACUUCCCUCCAGCACUUUUAAGACAUAGUGGGCCAGGCACAGUGGCUCAUGCCUGUAAUCCCAGCUAUCCAGGAGGCUGAGUCAAGAGAAUCACUUGAAACCAGGAGGCAGAGGUUGCAGUGAGCUGAGAUGGCACCACUGCACUCCAGCCUGGGUGACAGAGUGAGACCCUGUCUCAGAAAAAAAAAAGAAAAAAAAAAAAGAAAAGAAAAGAAAUGAAAAAUGGAUGUGGAAAGUAAAAUUCCUCUUCAAAGUUUCCCUUCUUGUUAAAGAAUAAAUAAUAAAUGUUAGAAAUAAUAGUUUAUUUUAAAGACUAACUUCCUCCAAAGCCUUCUUGCUUUUUGCUAAUAACUCUUUGUUAAGCCCUAUCCUACGUAGCUGUUAGAUAUAAGGGAAUAAGUAUAUUCUAUGUCCUUGUACUUUAACCAAGAUAUUUGUUCUGGGCAUGCUCAGGCAUGUCCCAGCUCACAGCCUUUGCCCCUUCCUUAUUUGGAAAUGUUGUUACUUCUCUAAGUCCUUUCGCAAGCCUCUUUUCCUUUUGUUCUCCAUUACCUUUACCUAUUUAGGAAAGUCUUAAAUUGUUAGCCAGCUGGGUUUAACUUAGACUGUGAGGUCCAGCUCCAACCAAUGGAGAUAGGACACAGCAGUAAGGACCCAGUGCAUAGGGGAUAAAUAUUCCUGUCUUUCUUUGUUCAGUGUGGUCUCGUGGCAAGAUUGCUGACAAGCAGCACCUUUUCUGCAGUAAGUAAAAUUGCCUUGCUGUGAAAACUUUUUGUCUGAAUGCUGAUUUCUCCUUGCGGCACCAAGGAACAAGCAUUUUGUUUCUAACAAUGGAUAAAUGUUGGAGAAGAUGGAUAUGCUAAUUACCCUGAUCUGAUCACUAGAAAUUGUAUAUAUUGAAAUAUCACUAUGUACCCCACUGAUAUGUACAAUUAUGUGUCAUUUAAAAAAUAAAAUAAAUAGCUGGAUGCAGUGGCUCAUGUCUGUAAGCCCAACAUUUUGGGAAGCCAAGGCGGGAGGAUCGCUGGAGCCCAGGAGUUCUGAGACCAGCGUGGGCAACAUAGGGAGAGGUCUUGUCUACUAAAACAAACAAACAAAAAAACUAGCUGGGCCCAGUGGUGUGCACCUGUAGUGUCAGCUACUCAGGAGGCUGAAGUGGGAGGAUUGCUGGAGCUGGGGAGUUCGAAGUUGCCAUAAUCAUACCACUGCACUCCAGCCUGGGUGACAGAGUAAGACCCUGUCUCUAAAAAAAUUAAAAAAUAGGCUGGGUGCAGUGGCUCACGUCUGUAAUCCCAGCACUUUGGGAGGCCGAGGCAGGUGGAUUACAAGGACCAGCCUGGCCCACAUGGUGAAACCCCAUCUCUAUUAAAAAUACAAAAAUUAGCUGGGCAUGGUGGCAGGCACCUGUAAUCCCAGCUACUCAGGAAGCUGAGGCAGGAGAAUCACUUGAGCCCGGGAUGCGGACGUUGCAGUGAGCUGAGAUCACACCAUUGCACUCCAGUCUGAGCCACAGAGCAAGAG
rnacentral:lncRNA from 1 species